UUUUCUUAAGAAAUUGUAAUACUUAACUUUUAAU
rnacentral:sRNA from 1 species